CCUACGGGAGGCAGCAGUGGGGAAUAUUGGACAAUGGGGGGAACCCUGAUCCAGCCAUGCCGCGUGUGUGAAGAAGGCCCUCGGGUUGUAAAGCACUUUCAGUGAGGAAGAACGCCUGGUGGUUAAUACCCAUCAGGAAAGACAUCACUCACAGAAGAAGCACCGGCUAACUCCGUGCCAGCAGCCGCGGUAAUACGGAGGGUGCGAGCGUUAAUCGGAAUUACUGGGCGUAAAGCGCGCGUAGGUGGCUUGAUAAGCCGGUUGUGAAAGCCCCGGGCUCAACCUGGGAACGGCAUCCGGAACUGUCAAGCUAGAGUGCAGGAGAGGAAGGUAGAAUUCCCGGUGUAGCGGUGAAAUGCGUAGAGAUCGGGAGGAAUACCAGUGGCGAAGGCGGCCUUCUGGACUGACACUGACACUGAGGUGCGAAAGCGUGGGUAACAAACAGGAUUAGAUACCCCGGUAGUC
rnacentral:rRNA from 1 species